CACGCAAGUAUCGCUGUGUGACACAUGGAUCGUUUUUAUUUCGUAUUGAUUAUUAAUAUCCACAAACAAGCUCACUCUAUUAUGACAUAUGUCAUUUUCCGAUUCUUAAACAUGCUUAAGUCAAUGUAUUUGGUAGUUUAAACACUUUUAUAAUGACCGCGUUGAUCUAUACCCGGUGAUGAGCACCGCCAUGUUAGUUCUCCCGGAAUCAGAACUGUGGGAUUUAAAACAGGCAGAUUCAUCCUCUCCUUCCGUUAAACGCAGGUUCAGCAGGCCUGAAGGAUGACAUGCCCCGAGAUGAAGUGUGCAGAAGAAGGACCUCCUUUCUGUAUCCCAUUAACAUCACCUCAUAAAAUGCUCCUACACGACAUGGGCAAACUGACACCCAUGUGUGAGCUGGCUCAGCUUUCUGCAGGGACGUCCUGGCCGGAGGGAAACUCACCAUUUCCAGCGUGCUGUGAUAAUAGAGAAGUGCAAAUGAGACGUGUGAGACUGCAGGCGAUCUCAAAGAGCAGCUCGAGAUUCCAC